rnacentral:rRNA from 1 species
AUUGAACGCUAGCGGCAUGCUUUACACAUGCAAGUCGAACGAGUGGCGGACGGGUGAGUAAUAUAUCGGAACGUGCCCAGUAGCGGGGGAUAACUACUCGAAACGGUGGCUAAUACCGCAUACUAUCGGAGCGGCCGAUAUCGGAUUAGCUAGUUGGUGGGGUAAAGGCUCACCUAGGCGACGAUCCGUAGCUGGUGUGAGAGGAUGACCAGCCACACUGGGACUGAGACACGGCCCAGACUCCUACGGGAGGCAGCAGUGGGGAAUAUUGGACAAUGGGCGAAACCCUGAUCCAGCCAUGCCGCGUGUAUGAGAAGGCCUUCGGGUUGUAAAGUACUUUUGGCAGAGAAGCGGUAUCUGCAGAAGAAGCACCGGCUAACUACGUGCCAGCAGCCGCGGUAAUUC